rnacentral:rRNA from 1 species
UACAGAGGUCUCAAGCGUUGUUCGGAUUCAUUGGGCGUAAAGGGCGCGUAGGCGGCGGGGUAAGUCUGGUGUGAAAUCUCGGAGCUCAACUCCGAAAUUGCACUGGAUACUGCUCUGCUAGAGGGCUGGAGAGGAGAUCGGAAUUCACGGUGUAGCAGUGAAAUGCGUAGAUAUCGUGAGGAAGACCAGUGGCGAAGGCGGAUCUCUGGACAGCUCCUGACGCUGAGGCGCGAAGGCUAGGGGAGCAAACAGG